GACAAACCACAGCACAGCCACUUUCUCUCUCUGUGUUUCAGUUUUCCUCUUAGCAGAAGGGAUAAUAAAAUUACCCAGCACUCAGGAAUGUAGCUUUAAUUCAUUAAUAUCUAUAAGUAGCUUACAGCUCCUCAGCCAUAGGGAGCUCUGGGAAUGCUAGUGGAAAUGCUUUGCAUCUUGUUGCUGUACUUCAACUUUCCAAAUUUCCCUAUUGCAUCCACUGAUUCCAAUAAUUUGAGCUCUGGAUUUUCUGACUUGGCAAAUUCGAAUCAGCUUUUCUCAAUGAUUCUGUGAGUGAAAAGGUGCUCUUUGUCAGAGAGAGGAAAUGGGGAGCAGCACUAGGCUCUCUGUAUGCUGGGUGAGUCAGCCACAGUUUGUGCACCUGCUGUGACUUACAGACUGAAUGCAUGGACUGCACUCCGAGAUGCUGGUGUUGCAAACAGAUGGAUUUUGUAAAUCCUGUUAAUGUUUCUAUGUGUAAGAGCUUCCCAGCAGAAAAGGAUCAUGUCCACCUGCCCAUGGGAGAAUAUCUUUUAAUCUGAGAUGGAAUAAUGGCCUUAGGCUUGAGGACCAAAUCUGGAAUGGGAAUUCAGACUGCACACGUCCUGGUAGGUUUCUGGUCGUGACAGAUGAGACAUGAGAUCUUCAGCAUCCAGGCUUUCAAGUUUUUCUUCAAGAGAUUCACUAUGGAAUCGGAGCUGAAGAUUUUUGACAUCUUUCCUGACGCCCUUUCCAAUUUUCUGAGAUCAGCAUUGCUUUAACAAAAAUCCUUAGA